rnacentral:tRNA from 1 species
GUGGUCCAGUGGUAAGGACACUUGCCUCUCACCCUGGAGUCCUAGGUUCGAUCCACGGACG